rfam:Torrubiella hemipterigena genome assembly, contig: SCAF4
ACAUACGACCAUAGAUACAGGAGAACUCGGGAUCCCGUCCGCUCUCCCAUAGAUAAGCCUGUAAUCGGCAGAUUAGUAGUUGGGUCGGUGACGACCAGCGAACACCGGCUGUUGUAUGUU